GCGUCGGUAGUGCAGUUGUUUAGCACGCACUCCCGGAGAGGGUGAAGUGCGGGUUCGAUUGCCGGCUAGCGCG